CAGGAGGAGGAGAGACCCGAGGCAGCCGCCGGUCGGAGCGUCAGGUGAACUAAACUUCAGAACUCUCCUCUGCGAGAAGACGGUGAGCCAUCCCAGACCCUAGAAUUCACCUGCCACAAGGAUCGUCCUUCGCUCCAUUGAAGAUUCACGGUUUGCUCUUUUCUGGGUGGGUGGCACGAUUCCCCUUGUGGUGAUCAUCCUUGGGUUCUCAUGCUCUGGGGGUCCUCUAGAUGUCUGGGGGCUGGAUCUUCUCCAUGCCUGCUUCAUGUCCAGCAGGGCAGGGCUAUGGGUCCCUACACCUACCCCUACCUACUAUUAGAUACUUACAUGGAAAAACCUAAUGAAUACAAGCAUGCUUACACACAAAGGUGUUCACACAAGUGUUCACACAGGUGUACAAACAGGUACUCGCAGACAAACACUAUCUUGGUUGACUGCUGCCUCUAAACAUAUCAUGCAAUAUUUGUCCUGUAUGCUGCUCAUUAACAUUCAAUAUUUCUUAUUGACUGUAACUUAUGCUUAUGUUGGUUGUUGCUGUGGUUUCCCUACUGUGUUGUUUUCUUUUUGCUUGUUCUUUUUUCAGCAGGUGAUCAAACAGAUUUUCAGUCUGUUCUCCCUCUAUCCUUCUUCUCCUCUAUUUUUCUUUCUAUUUUUCUUUCUCUCUCCUUC